rnacentral:rRNA from 1 species
GCAGUAUCCUAACUGUGCUAAGGUAGCAUAAUCAUUAGUCUUUUAAUUGAAGACUGGUAUGAAUGGCUUAACGAGAAAUUGACUUUUUUUACUAUUUAAAUUGAAUUUAAUUUUUUAGUGAAAAAGCUAAAAUGUGUCAGAAAGACGAGAAGACCCUAUAGAGUUUUAUUUCGAUUUACAUUUUUUCUUAAUAGAUUUUCAAAGAAUAAAUUUAAUUAGAUAUUUUGUUGGGGCGACAUUAAGAUAUAAAAAACUCUUUAUUUUUAAAAUUUUUAUAAAAAUAUUUUAUGAUCCUCUAAAAGGGAUCAAAAGAAAAAAUUACCUUAGGGAUAACAGCGUAAUCUUUUUUAAGAGUUCUAAUCGACAAAAAGGUUUGCGACCUCGAUGUUGGACUAAAAUUUAGGCAGGGUGCAGCAGUUCUGCUUUUAGGUCUGUUCGACCUAUA